ACGUAGGAGACGAGCGUUAUCCGGAUUUACUGGGUGUAAAGCGCGUGCAGGCGGUUCCGUAAGUUGGAUGUGAAAGCUCCUGGCUUAACUGGGAGAGGUCGUUCAAGACUGCGGGGCUAGAGUGCAACAGAGGGGAGUGGAAUUCCGAGUGUAGCGGUAAAAUGCAUAGAUAUUCGGAAGAACACCAGUGGCGAAGGCGGCUCUCUGGGUUGCAACUGACGCUCAGACGCGAAAGCUAGGGUAGCGAACGGGAUUAGAGACCCCGGUAGUCCUAGCCGUAAACGAUGUGGACUUGGCGUAGGUGGGUUGAAAUCCAUCUGUGCCGAAGCAAACGCGAUAAGUCCACCACCUGGGGACUACGGCCGCAAGGUUA
rnacentral:rRNA from 1 species